GACGAACGCUGGCGGCGUGCCUAACACAUGCAAGUCGAGCGGAGAUAAUAGCAAUGUUAUCUUAGCGGCGGACGGGUGAGUAACGCGUGGGUAACCUGCCUUAUACAGGGGGAUAACACAGGGAAACUUGUGCUAAUACCGCAUAACAUCAGACCAUCACAUGGUGGACUGAUCAAAGGAGCAAUCCGGUAUAAGAUGGACCCGCGUCCGAUUAGCUAGUUGGAGGUGUAACGGACCACCAAGGCGACGAUCGGUAGCCGAACUGAGAGGUUGAUCGGCCACAUUGGGACUGAGAAACGGCCCAGACUCCUACGGGAGGCAGCAGUGGGGAUUAUUGCGCAAUGGGGGAAACCCUGACGCAGCAACGCCGCGUGAAGGAUGAAGGUUUUCGGAUUGUAAACUUCUUUAGUCGGGGACGAACAAAUGACGGUACCCGAAGAAUAAGCCACGGCUAACUACGUGCCAGCCGCCGCCGUAA
rnacentral:rRNA from 1 species